UCUGAUUAUGUCAAGUUUUGUUCAUAGUCGGGUGCGCGCGAAGUAGCACGUUCAUGCUACGAGCUUUCUUUAUGAUACAUCCUUUGUAUGGUAUGUGGUAUUGUACAGGGUUUUGGAGAACGUUUUAAAAACAAACAGUUUUUUACCUUGAAAAUUUAUAACUAAAAACAUGACUGAGCAUUUAAAAAAUGUAAAAACCAAUUUUGAUUCUAUUGAACUCAGAAGAGUAGAAGUUGUCUUGGAUGGGAAGGAAUAUUCAGCUAAAAACGAUAGUAAACAAGUGACCCAUGGAACCAGAAGGAACCGAGAAUCCAGCCAGCAAUAAGGGUAUUCACAGAACUUAAGUGAAGAAAGACAAAAUAAAAUAAGAGAAAAUGCCCGAUUGAGACAACGCGUAAGCAUACCAAGAUCAUUGGCAUCAUACAAUCGCUUGGCAUUGGAAUAUGAUCCCACUGUGAACUACAGUGAUGAUGAAAAUUUAGAUAUUGGACCAAUGAUGACUAUAUGCUAAUAUUGCAAUGCGUGGAUUGUGCUAAGUAA